AACACAGGCAGGCAAUUAAAACCUUGUUGUGUUAACCAUAAUUGAAAGGCAGGAGAUAAUCACUUCACGUGACUUUUUAGAUCUCUUUUUUUAACGGCUCAUUAUGGAUUGUUAUUUUGUAUAAAACCUCUUUUUACUGAAUAAUCAAAACACUGCCUUGAAUAAUUUGUUGCCAUAUUGAGGCCCUUGCUGGAAAAUACCACAGAUAUAGUGUAUAUAGACAAUACUUAUAGGGCCAGAGUUUUAAGGGAGCAAUGGAAGGUUCAAUCGUUGAGAGUCCCAUAAAGCGGUGCCCUUUUAAAAAUAAGUCCGCAAUGCGUACUUGUGGGCUUAGAUAGUGUUAUUCCAUUCAGUUGGAGUUUGUUUUUAAAAGUCAGUAUCUGGGAAUUGAAUUGCUAUACUGUAUGUGAGAAGGCAAUCACUGCAAAGGUAAAGGUGUAACUUUGGAACUGGAGACAUUGUACUCUUGGUAGAAAACUUGUGGCUCCUUGGUUGCAUCCUGGAAGUAAAACCAAACAAGAGAGAUGGGCUUGUGAGGAGAGUCCUGCUGAAAACCAAGUCCGCAGCCUUGGAACAUCCCAUUGACAAGAUUGUUCUUCUAGAGGCUGCUAGACUCCACGAGAGCAGCUAAACAUCUGUUGAUCUUGAUGUCCUCAAUAGACUGCGAACAGUCUCUUUUGCUCGGAAAUCCGUGGAGAAGAAAGCAAAACAAGUGUGACUGUGAGCGUGACAUGCGAGUGGCCGCCAGUAGCGCAGUGGGCUCGCGGCUUCGCAUAUUACACUUGCAUGCUCACAACCCUUUGCUCGCUUGUGUUGCGUUCUUUGUGUUCGUCUCCACGAAUUUUCGAGCAAAAGAGAGACUGCUUGCAGUCUAUGUCUUCAACCAAGAAGUUUGCUUGUAACGUCAGAGAACAGUUGUUUCUUUAUUGACUUGAUUGUGAUGAACCAUUUCGAAUUGAUUUAGUGACAAUAUAUUACUCAAGUUUUUCCAUUUGAAUCACUGGAUUAAGUUUAAAUGCUUUCAGUUCGCAUUUAGGGGCCGGUAUGUAGGAUUCAAACAUGCGUGACAUUUCCCCUACGUGAAUUACACUUGAUUUAAAAUUUAACUCGUCUAUCAUCAUGAGAUUCGUUGUGUAAGGUUGCAUCGAGUUUCAGUUUAGUUCAUCAGUUACUUCAAUCUACCAGUUCCCAUCAAUAGGAGAAAAUGUUCGGCGGGGUUCUUGCUUGGAUGGGUUACCAAAUAUGAAUACCCUGUGUUGUAAUAACUUCUUUUUUUUUCUUUUUUUGUUUCUUCCCUUUCCAAGACGAUGUUAGUGACUGCUGAACUCCCAGUCUUGUGUAAUGUCUUUUUUUAAUUUAUCAACUAUUUUGUUCAAAUCAUUUCGUCAUGUGUGCAUUCAUCUUACAAAACUGUAUAAAUAAUAGUGAAACGGGGCAUUCGAAUUCUCCUCAAUUCUCGUCUGUUGAUGGUCCAAAACUUUGUGAAUCAUCAUUCGAAAACUCAUAGAGCUCAUCAAUUUUGUGAUUUUCAAUAUCUCCGCAGUUUUCGGCAAUCAAGUAUGGUUACACCUGUAUAACCGGACACCUUCGGCAAAUGAGCUAUUUAUAUGAUUAGCUUCUAUAUAUAAACAUGUUCGUGCGUAAAUCUAUUCAAUGUAGAUCAUUUCUGUUGUAAGAUAUAGAGUACUUGCAAAAGAAUUUCAAAGAAUAACUAACUAGACUGUAAAAUGAUCUUGGACGGCGAGAUGUUUGAACCCGGGAGGGGACUCCUAUAUGAAAAGGUCGGGGAUGCUUGUCUUGGGUACAAAUCAAGGAUUCUGUUCUCACUUUGGGCGUUGAUGAAACAUCACCAUUCUUAGUCAAAGUAUCCUUUAGGGUGCACUCAAAGAAAUAAUAAUAAAAGAAAUGCUCUGAUUUGUUUUCUGCUGAUCUCUCAAGUGAGCGAAUCGGGUCUACAAGUGCCUGCGGGAACCUUUCUAGCGCAGAGUGCACUAUUGGGAUGGUUUAGGGGGCUGCUGUUCGCUAAGGCACUAAUGCUAUAAUGCCAUAAUGCCAUAAGGUGUAAACUUGAAUGUUUGUUUAAUUAAUUAAUCGGGAUGUGGAAAUGGCGAAUAUGUUAAGUGAAAGAUACAUUUCAUACAGAAUCAUACACAAAUUGUAGUGCUUUUCCUUAUGGUAGAACAAAACAUGUAAGAUGCAUGCAUUCUAGCAUUGUUAGUGUGAUAAACUCUGUUUUCCAGUUCAACUCUGCACGUUUUUUCGAGUAAUACCACAAAUUCAUAUUCAGCUGAAACUUUCUCGUGUUAGUUACAUGUAAAACUACUAAAUCUGUGACCACAGAUUAAGAAACUUCACAAUUAUUGCCGCAGACUCUGUGGCACUUACUGAAACCUCCAAUUAAUUUCAUCAGUCUUUGAGGUUACUUGCUCACCGAUGUAGGAUAUAAUUUUGGCCAAGUAACGAUUUCUACCUUCAAUACUUCUUGUUACAACGCUCCUCAGUUGUAUUAAUCAAUAGCAUUGUGUAUUAGUUUGACGUGAAUAAGAACGCUUUAUUCUGUGACUCUACUGACUAUUUGAUAAUUAGAUUAGUUCUUGUUUAUCGGUGAAAUUGAAUAAAACAAAGUUGUUCCUCUUCGAUUUCUCAUCAGAUAUUUAACUUUAUUCCACUUAUCUCCAGCAGUAAGUAAAAAAUAUACAUCUUUCUUAUAUUUUCGAGGAACCAAGGGUAUCACGUUGCAUACCUUGGCGACGAAAACAAAAGUAUCAAGUUACAAACGUUAGCGUGAAAAGUAAAAUUGUCACAUUUGCCACUUCUGCGUAUUAUUGAAUUUAAACUGACUGAAACUCAGCAUAAAACACCACAAUAAAAUUCAAAGCCUUCUUGACAAAUGUUAAUUGUAAAUUAUUUUUGGGCCUUGAAGGAAAAAACAAACAUGAAACAUGCACACUACUAAGAUUAUGUCUUAUCAAGUUUUGUCCACUCAUAUUUUGCAAGGGGAAAAUGCCUAGCUGAGUACCAAGGGAGAGAACGGCAUGGGUGAGGACUUACGUGACUACUGUAUCAGAGCCGUAAAAUGCACUCUGCACUAUCUGAGAUUGUCUCACUAGUUUGAACAGUGGCUAGUAAUUGAACCUAUUCCAUGUUGCAUGGUAUCUUUUAAGGGUCUAAUGAAGCUCGAGCAAAGCCCACAUUAGUCUUCUUUAGCAGCUAAAUUCAAAUUUUCCGAUGAGCAUCCCUGACCUUCUCAUAUCGGAGUUCCCCCCGGGGGUUCCAAAUGUCUGACAGGAAGUGACCCAGUCAAAUCGUCCCAUCACUACGUGGAAAUAAAUAUAAAUAUUUUCCAAGUUAAAAAGUAAAUUAAAAUUAUUUACACAAGGUUCGUACUCUUUGAGCUUUUAAAAUUCCAACACUUUCCAGGACCUUUUUGAGUUUUGCAUGACCUAAGUUAAUCAGCUGUUCUGUCAGUAUUGUCACAACAAUUAUUAUUUAUUUCAGGUAUUGUCCAACAUUAUAAUGCAUAAAAUCUGUGCUUGUGUUUAUUUCCAUUGAAAUUAAGUCAGUUUCUGACUCAUUUGUGUUUUUUCCAUUUUUUAAAAAUCUUUUUGCCUCUGUAUUCUCGGAAAGCAUAUUGCUUUUCCAUGACUUUUCAGGCCUGGAAAUUGAAAUUAAAAAUUCCAUGACUUUCCAGGUUUUCCAUGACCCAUACGAACUCUGUACAAUGUAAUCUAUUCACCACAAAGUUUACAGCAAUUACUAUUAUUAGUAAAAGUCUGAUAAGUUAAGCUUUCUGAUUCUGUUUCCAAAAGUAGUAAGAGAAAUUAUUUACAUGAAUCGGUUAGCUGUGUGGAGUUAAAAAGAGAUGGAUCGUAUUGUUAUGUAUCGUUAUGUAUCGUGGCAUCUCAAUCAUUACAUACUGCGGAAUCUACAUUCACUUAGCUUUCAAAUGGCAUAUUUCACUUAGAAAUCUGUGGAGACGUAGUGGAGAAAAAAAAUUAUGUACGUGAGUCAGUUAGCACUGGUGACUUGAUCACGCUGCGACCCGAGAGACCCGAAACAUGGCACGAGUUAUAAGUUAUUUUUGAAAACUGAAAUUAGCCUCAAAAUAACUCACUUUUGACAAAUCUGCUUUCCCUUAGCUACAAGAUAACACAUUAAGUUAAAAAUCAGCUCAAAAAACAAAUAGUUCAACCAAUAUAAAAAGGCAGUUUUAGACAUGUGCAGCUCAUGAUGCUGUCCCUUUAAGUCUGGUUUUCACUAGCAAUGCAAGCACAAGCGCAAGCGCAAGCACAAGCACAAGCACAAGCACAAGCACAAGUGUAAGCACAAGCACAAGCAAUAGGGAUGAUCCAAGUAUAAACGAAAUUCAAGGUAAUCUGGGUCCUGCGUAUUUAGUGGCCAAACACAACCACAUGUGGUAAAUAUCCUUGUGCUUGUGUUACGCCUGAGCGGUAUUUUGUUUUCAAUUGCUGCAGUGCAAAUGCAAGCAUAAGCGCAAGCACAAGAAAAAGGAAAAAUUUUGAUCCUUGUGUUUGUUCUUGCACUUAUGCCUGCAUCAAGGCCAUUUUCACAGUGAAAUAAGAAUUAUUGUGUUUGCACUUGCACUUGCGCUUGUGCUUGCGUCACUAGUGAAAACCAGGCUUAAAAGCUCCUGUUCGAUUUGCGCUCAUGAAAAUUUUCAUCGCGUGAGAGAUUCUCUAGGCUCGAUUUCCAACCAUUUUGUGAGCCCGUGUACCUUGCCCCACACUCAGGUUUCAUAAAAUCCUCAAGCCUUCAAGAUGCCGAUGACUAUGUGUGAUUAUGCAAUAAUAUUGCAUAACCCCACAAAAAUUAAAUUAUAUAUUUUACUGGCCUUUAAUAAUAAUAGUAAUAGCCAAUAUCUUUUCAUCUUCACAAAAAACAAGUGCCAAACAAAAACAAGCCAACCAUACAUACCAGUAUACAUAUUAUAUACAAAUAUAAAAACAAAGUAAAUGUAACUAGAAUUUCACCUAAUUACCUCAGAGAUCAUCAGACUACAAUGGGCAACAAAAGUAGUUGAGACACUUUUAGGAAAUGACGCUUUUCGAUAUUUAAGCACUUGUCCUAUUUUAUUUACAUCUAGUGUUGAUUCUCUUAUACCCCCGGCCCCCCAAUUCAAUGUUGUGUAGGCACUGCGUUCUACGCAGUCUAAGAAAUAGAAAAAUCAACAUUGUUUGGGGGGAAGGCGGGAAAAUGUGUCCAAGAUGCUCGAGAAUCAAAUUUUACUAACAAGUGUCUCAACACUUUUGUCACCCAUUGUCCACAACAGUAAACUUGUUUUUGCUAAAUAACAGGUGUAGUACUUGAUUGAAAUGUCUGCAAUCGCUUUAUUCCGGGAUCUGGGUUUUUUUCAUGGGCAAAUAUGGCAAGCUUACUCAUUAGUACAAAAAUUUAAGGAAAUUAUAAACUUUUUUGGAAGUGUAAUCUUGCGUGACAUCGCCAAUUUAGGCUGUCGAUCAUCUCCACCUUAUUUCUCUCCAAAAAAGGAAUGAAAUAAUAAAGUACAUGUAAUUGUUGAAUUACAAACUACCGGUGGUACUCCCAAAGCAGACUAUAGAGUGACUCAAACGACCGCUGGACAAGAAAAUCAACUGGUAACCACAAAUUGACUAGUCAAUAUCAUUUGGUUACCAGUGGUUACUCUUAAAUACUCGAGGCUAUUGGUGAAAAAACUGCAUUUAUUUGCAUUAAAUAAUCUUUAAUCCAAGCUGGACUGAAAAAGGUAGCAAAAACUUUGUACAACAGGAAUUAAAAUGAGACACUACGUUAUAAAAGUAACUUUUCAGAUCAGAAGGCACGUUUUAUCGCUUUAGCGACAGUUUACCAUGUGUAAUGGCAUCAUUUUUAUAUCACACUUAUGUGUUUGAAGCAUUCUGUUAACAGCAGAAUGCUGUUACUACCACUAAUUAAAUUACUUGCAUGCAUAAAAAUAAUGCAUACAAGUAAUUUAAUUAGUGGUGAUAAGUAACUCUUCAUUUCUGGUUAAUUAUGGAAUAUUCAUCUUGUAAGUAAUUUUAAUAAGGACAUAAACAAAACUUUACAUGUAAGUUUAAUAAGUACACACAUAUAGAAAAAAGAAACUGUAAUACAAUAAUAGCUUUUGAAGAAGACACUCAAUAAAGGAGGGGGAAAAAUGUAGCGAAAACCAAUCACAUCAAAAAACGUUAUUACUAUUUUGCUCACUAUGGUGAAACUAUUUGAAAGCAAAUUUGAAUAAGAUGUAAAUUAAAAUUGUUGAACAACUGCUAUCGAAAAAAAAAUUCUGUUGACAGCAUUGUUUAGCAGACAAAAUUACAGAAGAUCACCUGUUUUACCACACUUUUGAACUUCAUGUCGUGAGUUCUCAAUGUUUUAUCAAUGGUAAAACGUUAAAAAUAGAAUAUAUUAAAUAACUUUUCUAUAUAUUUUAAUGGAUUACCAAUGGGAAACCGUUGGAAAUUCACCCAGUAAAAGUUGAAAAGCACUCAAACCAUCGGUUGAUAGCAAAUUUUAUGUGAUCAGUACAAUGCCAUUAAUCUUCUGACACUUGUGUUACCAAUCAUCAUGCUCUGAAAAACGAAUAGCAUUCAUGAGGCAAUAUAUGAAGGAGAGGAGAACCAAUAAACAAUUCAGAGAGAGAGAAUAAGAACAAACAACAGAAA